AGAAACACAAAUAGUUCUUCCUGUGUUAGAAAUAACAGAUAUCUUCUGAAAUACUCUCUCUGCAAAGCCUCUUUGGAAAAACAAAUGACUAUUCUUCUAUUCUUAGCCAUGCCUAGUUAAAAUCAGGCAUUUUAGAAGUAACUGUAGAACUUGGGGCUAAAGAAAAAAAUGGCUCCUUUUAAAAUCAAGUUGCGGCCUUCCGGUUUCCAUCUCUGCUUAGAGCAAAUCCUCUGCCACAGGGCUCCAUACCCAAAUAGUGCCUUGAAGGAGUGAGCUUCCCAGGAGUGCAGACAGGACUGUGGGUGCAAGUAGGACCACCACUGCUGCUCAGAGGAACGCGCCCCAACCCUCAGGACCCAGAAACCCAGGGACAGCUUGGGACAGGAACCUUCUGGUCUCAGGAGAGAGCUGUUCUUCCAGAAGUGCCUACACACCUGCAAGCACAGGUAAUACCACCACUUCUCUUCAAAUUCCUGGCAAAGAGGGACACUCACAAAGCCAUCAGGACACAGGAACCAAGGAUCAGCUGGAGACAGGAUUCUUCUGGUUUCUGUCUGCACACCAGAGCUAACCCUGUACUACAGCUCUCCAUACCCAAAUUCCUCUGGAGAAAACUGGUCUCCCCAGAGUACUGACACACAGGUUUGCAGGAGGGACAAGCCAAAGUCAGAGACAGCAAGACCAGCUAACACCAGAGAUAACCAGAUGUUGAAAGGCAAGCACAAUAACAUAAGCAACAGAAACCAAGACAUCAUCAUCAGAUCAAGACUGGCAUCAUCAGAACCCAGUUCUUCUGCCACAGUGAACCCUGGUUACCCCAACAUACCAGAAAAGUAAGACUCUGGUUUAAAAAUCACAUCUGGGGGGAGGGUAUAGGAGACUUUCGGGAUAGCAUUGAUAGAGGACUUUAAGAAGGACAUAAAUAACUUCCUUAAAGAAUUACAGAAAAACACAACAAAAGAGGUGAAGGAACUGAACAAAACCAUCCAGGAUCUAAAAAUGGAAGUAGAAACAAUAAAGAAAUCACAAAGGGAGACAACACUGGAGACAGAAAAACUAGGAAAGAGACCAGGAGUCACAGAUGCAAGAACUCUCAGAUUUGAACAUCUAUGGUCCAAAUGCAAGGGCACCCAGAAUUCUCAACUGAGGAAUACCAAAUGACUGAGAAGCACCUAAAUAAAUGUUCAACAUCCUCAGUCAUCAGAGAAAUGCAAAUCAAAACUUAACCCCGAGAUUCCACCUCACACCAGUCAGAAUGGCUAAGAUUAAAAACUCAGGUGACAGCAGAUGCUGGGUGGGGAUGUGGAAAAAGAGGAACACUCCUCCAUUGCUGAUGGGAUUGCAAGCUGGUACAACCACUCUGGAAAUCAGUUUGGCGCUUCCUCAGAUAAUUGGACAUAGUACUACUGGAGGACCCAACAAUACCUCUUCUGGGCAUAUACCCAGAAGAUCUUCCAACUGGUAAUAAGGACACAUGCUCCACCAUGUUCAUAGCAGCCUUAUUUAUAAUAGCCAGAAGCUGGAAAAAAAACAGAUAUCCCUCAACAGAGGAAUGGAUACAGAGAAUAUGGUACAUUUAUACAAUGGAGUACUACGCAGCUAUUAAAAACAACAGAUUUGUGAAAUUCUUGGGCAAAUGAAUGGAACUAGAAAAUAUCAUCCUGAGAGAGGUAAUCCAAUCACAAAAGAAUAUACAUGGUAUUCACUCACUGAUAUUAGCCCAGAAACUUGGAAUACUCAAGAUACAAUUCACAAACCACAUGAAGUUCAAGAAGGAAGAGGCCAAAGUGUGGAUACUAUGGUCCUUCUUAGAAGGGGGAACAAAAUACCCAUGCAAGGAGUUACAGAGACAAAGUAUGGAGCAGGAACUGAAGGAAAGACCAUCCAGAGACUGCUCCACCUGGGGAUCCAUCCCAUAUACAAUCAAACCCAGAAAUUAUUGUGGAUGCCAAGAAGUGCUUGCUGACAGGGGCCUGAUAUAGCUGUCUCUGGAGAGGCUCUGCCAGAGCCUGACAAAUACAGAGUAGGAUGCUUGCAGUCAACCACUGGACUGAGCACAGGGUCCCCAAUGGAGGAGCUAGAGAACGGACUCAAGGAGCUGAAGGAGUUUGCAGCCCCAUAGGAGGAACAACAAUAUGAACUAACCAGUACCCCCAGAGCUCCCUUGGACUAAACCACCAACCAAAGAGUACACAUGGAGGGACCCAUGACUCCAACCACAUAUGUAGCAGAGGAUGAACUUGUCAGUCAUCAAUGAGAGGAGAGGCCCUUGGUCCUGUGAAGGCUCUAUGCCCCAGUGUAGGGGAAUGCCAGGGCCUGGAAGGGGGAGUAGGUGAGUUGGUGAAAAGGGGGAGAGGGAGGGAAUAGGGGGUUUUUGGAGGUGAAACCAGAAAAGGGGAUAAUAUUUGAAAUGUAAAUAAAGAAAAUAUCUA
ensembl:lincRNA